rnacentral:lncRNA from 1 species
AAAAAACGCAAAACAUUCAACCAAUAGUAUCUUAAACAGUUUCUGCGAACGCACUACAACACAGAAAAAGCGUAGAAACUUUUGUUUAGAAAUAUUGAUUUGGAAAAAGAGUUAAAAGUAUUUUUGCAAACAUUUAUUUAACAUUCAUACAUAAAAGUUUUACCGGGAUACCACGUGGAGAGUUAGCAAUUAAGUUAUUUAAAUAAUUAAUUUUCAAAAUGUGUAUGAAAAUGAAAUUUUACGACAAUGAAAUUUAACACUGAAUCAUUUACAUUGUGUUUAAAGUGAUAGUUUACAUUACAAUUUAAUUUAUUGUAUAAUUGAGACAACGUUGCCCAGAACUACAAACUACAGAUUGAGAUUUACACAUAUAUUCAUACUCACAUUUACUCGUGGUAAGUCUAUUUUGAUAUUUGUUAUCUAUUCAUACUCACAAUUACUCGCGGCAAGAUAAUUUUUAUAUAUUCUUAAAUUGAUUCUAGCAGAUUAGUUCUUGAGAAUCUCACUAAUUUAUUUUACUUGGCUACUCCUUUUAGUUAUAAAGUUCUCAAAUGUUCUACGUUUUUAUAUAUCUCAUGCUUUCGAAAGUUUUCUGUAAGACUUUUCCCGAUAAAGGUAAAUCAAGAGAAGCGCUUUUAAAUCUCUAAAUGACCUGAAAAUGUUAUUAAUUUUGAUUUAUUUUAUUCUUAGCUAUUUUUGUAUGUCCCUUAUUGGUCAUGAUGAUCUUAACGUUUCGGUACAUUGAAACAUCCUUAUUAUAUGAAUGUUCGGGUUUUAGCGUUUCUGAUGAAAGCAAAUAUAGAAGAAGAAACAACAACCCUUAAGCGCAAUUUAUUUAUAAAGCGUUAUAUGCGUUUAAAUAAAAAAAAAAGUGUUCAAGAGUUUUUGUUGUUAAACUAAACAAGUUCCUAGACUUAGAAUUCGAUCACUGUUUAAGCUGAUAAUAGUUUUAAACUGAUAUCGAACUUUAUAAAAAACAGUUUGUUUUGUAAGUAAUCCUUUUUCACCUAAUGUAUUUGUAAUUCUUUUUGAAUUUGAUAUUAAAAAGAAUUAAACAACUUCGAAUUAUCAUAUCAAAUGCGACACAAAAUAUGUAUGACAAGUUUCAUCCAUCAAUGGUACUUAUAAUACGUACCACAAUCAUUUGUGUUGCCUUAAUCCCUUAAUUAUGAUUAAGCGUUUUUCGUCAUGCUACUUUUAUUGAAUCGAAUUCUUUAUAAUGUCUAAAAGUCAAACCUGUUAUUUAUCAUUUCGGAAAUACGUCACAUUUAAGUUUGUAUCCGAUGUUUAGCUACUUCCGUAUUUGGUCAAUUCUUUAGUUUUCUUUGUUGUUUUGUUUUUUGAUUUAGUGAAUACGGCUUGAUUGUUGAACAUUACCCACCUGGCUUAUCAUUUAGAUCGAUAGUCCCCUGAAUAACACAACGCGUAAGCAUAACCUGGUGUAUUCACCUUCAAAUAUUUUUAAAUAACAAAAUCCUUAAGUACUUUACAAGUUGGUACCAGACCAUACCAUUCACUCAUUUUGUUGAGUAAUUAUUAUAGGCCUUCAGUUUACAUUUGGCAAAUAUGAUGACACAUGCUGAUAAAAGAUGUCAUAAGUACAGUAAUAACAAUGUUGCAAACAAUUUCAAUGAGCGAUUUAUGAAUCGAAUAUUGUCGACAAUACAAUGAUUGUCAUUCUGUAGUUAAUUUUUUAGUCAGUGUUUCAAAUUGCUUAUUUGCGAUAUGGCGAUUUUUGACAGAUUCUUUUUACUUUUUAAUGCAUAAUCAAGUAAAAGUAGAUUCCCGUUGUAAAUUAAGACAAAAUUAGUUUAUUGAUGUACAAAUAUCACGAAUCUCCCAAGAAGACAAGUUGAGAGGAAAAAACCAAAACAAUCUGAGGAAAUCGCAUAGACGCAAAAAGAAGCGAUAUAGCGGCUUACGAUUCUAAAACAUUACUCAGUACUCGAAUUUUGAGCUCGAAAAAACAAUUAAAUUGGUUUUUUUUAUGUCUGAGUCUGCAUAUGUGAACAAAGUCGCACUCCAAAUGUUUAUGACUCUAAGGCCAGGUGUGUCGAUAUGAUAGGCGUAUUUAUGCAUAUUGUACACGCUAUACCAAAAGAUGACAAUGGAAGAUAGGACACAAUCGGUAAAAAUUACAGAUUAGAAGACUACAGACAAAUUUCAGUUUUGUAUCUACUGGUGCUAGUUUUCAAGCUUAUAUCGGUCAAUACCAACUUUUCACUUGUUCUUGUUAAAUGAACAAUGGAUAUUGUUUCUGGGGAUCAGUGUAGAAACAAUACUAAAUUUCUGACAAAUAAUAAAUUUGUCUCCAAACGAGAUCGUAUCUAUGAAUGCUCUUUACACAUAUAUAUAACUUGUAACCAGAACUACUUUCUAGUAAUUUAAUGAUUAAGGAAAUGCGAUUCCGCAAAAUAGUAUCCUUAAUACAUUUGACUCUUCGUUUAUCGGCCAUUAACGAUAUAAACAACAUACAGUUCUCAAUUAGAUAUAGAUUUAAGCUUAGUUUCCGUACGUUAAGUAUAGUUUUACCAUUUGCACUUUUAUUGCAAAUUUAGUUAAUUUUUUAAGCAGUUAUAGAUUUGCAUAGAGACUUUUUUCAACUCGAAAUAGGUUAACAGAUACAUUGAUGUUUAUUGCAUAAAGUAGCAUUCUAUACGACGUUUUAGAUUUUUCGUCAUGAAAUUUUGUAGGCCUAAGACAUAAUGACAACUCUAAAUUCAUUUUAAUAGCCUAAUGGUAUGUGCAAAUGUGUUUUUAUAUCAAAAAGUUAAAUCACAAAAAUACUUUACUCCGAGAAAAUAUCAAAACGGAAAAUCCCUUAUCAAUUGGCAAAAUCUAAAGCUCUAACACACCAAACGAACCGAUAACAACUGUCAUAUUCCUGAUUUGGUACAGGUAUCAAUUGUUAGCAUUGUAUUUUGAACAGGUAAUCUAAAGGCUGCACACAGUUUUUAAAAGUACACAAUAGUUAUCAAAGGUACCAGGAUUAUAUUUUAAUACGUCAGACGCACGUUGCGUCUACAUAAGACUCAUCAGUGACGCUCAGAUCAAAAUUGUCUAGUAUGCAAUUGUCUAAUGUUUAUAAAAGUUAAAAAUAGAACAGAAAUAUAUCUGUGAACAACCAAUUCUCGAAAUAACGAAAAACAUUAAUACAUCAUGUAUACCAAAAAUAGAUAACAUAAAAUAUCUUAAUCAUCUUCUUUUUUAAGGGAGAAGGGGGUCGCUGUACAAAUUCGCAUCCACUUCCGGUCAAAAUGUGAACCUUCAAUCAUAUGCCUUGUGUAAAGAGAGUAAUGCUCUCUUUGCACGUUAUGAACGUUAAGAAACUGUACAACAACUAUUUAUGGGGUCCGUUUGUGGCCUUUUUUAACACAAUAAUUGUGUUUAUAUCCAAUAUACCCUCAUUUUACAAUAUCUGUCCAACUUGAAUCGACGUUCAUCCGUGACGGUCUAUAUGACAGGACCAACCUCUUGAAUUUUUGAAAAAAUAUUCUAUAUAUAUAUAACAUAUAUGAAAUAUUGUCCACUGGACGUUAUUCAAGCAACAAUCGAUUAACACCAGUAACAUUGAAAGACAUCGAGACUAGAGGUGUACCGGUGUGACUCUAUUACGAUUUAAAAGAAAUGUCGGAAAUCUUAAGACAUUACACCACAAGAACCUCAAAACAAUAAACCAAGAUAGUAGUAUAUCAUUGAAAAACAUACGACUUGUAAAUUAAUAACUCUUGAAUUUAAAUGGCGUAACGCUUAGUGCUGAUAGUCAUGCCAAGUACGCCGACAGGGCAGGUCAACACGUUCUUAUUUGAUAGAAUGUUCACCCGAUCGGAAGUGAAGCCAAGUCAACCGACAUGCAGAUCGACACGUUCUUAUUUGAUAUAAUGUCCUCUCGGCCGGUAGUAAAGCCAAGUCACCGACAGAGCAGGUCGACACGUUCUUAUUUGAUAUAAUGUCCUCUCGGCCGGUAGUAAAGCCAAGCCACCGACAGAGCAGGUCGACACGUUCUUGUUUAAUAUAAUGUUCAUUCGGAAGCUAAUCGAUCUCGUGAUUUAUCCACUAACUCGUUAAUUAUAUCACCUAUGAUGACUAUACAUUAUAUAUCAUUUAAUCAAACAAAAGUGUAUUCCUAAUCUGUUAAAGUGUCCCUUAGUGCAAUAGAUGCACAUUAUCUUAUUAACCUGAAGGAAAUUAACGUUAAUAAUUAACUUUCAUUGGUGUCCUUACAAACAUUCUAUCAUUAUGAACUUUAACUUAGUAACUAACUUUGAUAUUACAAUUAAUAGGCAAUUGUUCUUUUUGUUUUCAAUGACGUACGACAAUCUUCUAUGUACCAGAGUACGAAUAAUAUGGAUUUAAGUAACUAUUUUCCGAAGUCAGGAGCCGGUAAUUCAGUGGUUGUCGUUUGUUGCUGUGUAACAUAUUUUUUGUUCGUUUCUUUUUUGUACAUUAAUUAGGCUGGUCGUUUUCUCUUUGAACUGUUUUACAUUUGUGAUUUCGGGACCUUUUAUAGCUGACUAUGUGGUAUGGGCUUUGUUCUUUGUUAAUAGCCGUACAGUGAUCUAAAGCUGUCAAUUUACGUGUAAUUUUGUUUCUUGUGUUAUCAUUGGCAAUCGUACUACAUCUUCUUUUCUAUAAAUAUGGUCAUAAUAUUUCCCUCAACAAGAAGCAAAACAAAUACACGAUAGUAAGCCAUAAAAGGUUCCGAAUUGACAAAAUCGGAAAAAUUCAAACGACAAGAAACCAAACAAACAGAUUUAUAACAAAACCAUCUUAACGUAAAACAAAUACUACAGACAGCAACCGAAGACAACCACUACACUGUAGGCUCCUAAUUUGGAUACAUGGUACAUGCACAAAUAACUCUAUUGAAAUUAAUAAGCAGAUUAAAUUAUUGAUUCGUAUUGCCAAUUUUAAUUAUAGCUCAAAUAACUGUAACAACAGUUAUGUUACAGUUUUCCCGCGCAAACAAAAAUGCAGCAGAUACCAAGUAGGAACCAAAAAAUAUCAGUCUUAGUAAAAUUCAAGAUGACUACGACACGUCCAAAUGAGAAAUGGCGAAUAUAUAAUAUCUUACAAAACAAACCCCUUAAAAAAAUGAAAAACGGGAUGAUCAACGUAUCCAGGAAGGGUAAACAGAUUACAGUAGAGUCUUAAAUCUAUUCGAACAGUUCUGUUUUAGAACUUUUAUUUGGAAAAUUAAUAUUGUCAACAAUUUUGCAAAAUCCACUCCUUAACGGAAUCUAAUUUGUUUUCAUACAGUCACUAAAGGUUCUACCAUUGUAAUUGAGACUACAUGCAAGAUACUUUAUGACGAAUUAAUAUGUUUUUUCUAAAACCUAAUUAGUUUGCGUGUUCAAUUUUUCAACAAUUUGAUAAAUUUGCUAGAAAUUUUCAAAUUGAAUUAAUUCCACCCAAAAGCAUGCUGAUUUGUACUUAUAAUAUUCGAUAAAAAAGGAAUUAAAGUAUAAUCAAGCAAUUUAUUGAAUUUCAAACGCUCAUUUUUAAAUGUUCUAUUUAACAAAUAUUUCUAUGAAACUGGCAUCUUCAGAAUGCUAGAUAUUUUUGUUGAGAACAUAUUUGUUACGUUUGGAGGACGUUUUUGCAAAAAAAUAUCAACAAUCUAUAUGGGUACAAAUUGUGCAUUUUUUAUGCUAUGACAAGCUAUAACUUGUCUCUAGGAUGCAUAAUUUAUCAGAAAUAAUCGAAGAUUAGCCGUUGAAACCAAACUAUUGAAAAAUCGAAUAGCUUUUUAAAGUAAACUAAAAAGACUAGGUCUUUAGUUUGUGAUAGGCACAUAAUCAUGUGGCUUACCAAAAAAGGAAAGCUCGGAUCUGAAUUUCGCCGAGUGUUGUAAGUAAGCAUUGUACUAUUAUAAACGGAAAAUUCUAUCAAUUCCUAUAAAUACGAAUUGUUCUAGGAAUUGCGAAAUAUUUUCUUAAGCUAUGCUGACAAUUUAAAAUAAAAACAUAACAGAUUAUAAGUUUAACAAGUAAUACAAAAUUGUAAGUUACAUUGUAAUAAAGAAGUCUUUAGAUAGACCCCCUAUCACUUUUUAGUCAUACAAUGUGUAUAACCUGCAUUGAAAUACAAAUAAACAGCACAAUACACGAACGAAAGUUCAGGUAACGAAACAUGCGCAUGAGCAGACAAGAUCAGAAGCAUGAUAGACAAACAUCAAAAAUUAAAUCUACAGCAGUGAGUAAUAUAAUCUGUCAUCUAAUAAGAGAGUUAAAGCAAAAACCGUUUGAAGACGGCAGUGCAAAUAUGUGCAACAUUGGAUGGGUAAAUGUACUUGCAACAGUAAAAUUGCAUUAUUCAUAUGGAAUGCAUUGAAUGAAUUUUAUUUAAUUAUGUUGUAAAUAGUUAGACGCUUUAUCAAUAAAUAUAGAACAAUUCUCUUGUGAAUUUUGUAACUUUAGACGUUUGCCUUCCGUCAAACUUAUGCUCUGAUAUUUGUAUGCACUUUAAAAGCAUAUUAGUACUUGGUGUUAUGUUACUAGUGCUAACAGUCACAAGCUUUCACGGCGAAUAGAAAUUCUCUUUUAUUAUUCAUUUUAAAUUAUUGAGCUCUCUUGGUACUUUUUUGUUUGAUUAUGUUUGACCUUGUUGUUGGAACAUUUGAAUUGAUUCAUAGAAAAUUUGAUACUGUAGACAAGUCUAUUGAAAAAUUUAUAUGAAUAACAUGCAUGAUUUUUUGUGAUCAAGAGGAAUUCAUAUUAGUAUAGUGUAAAGGAUCGAGCUACAUUUUUUUUUUAUUGAAAGAUGAGCAAACUACGAGAGCAAACGUGUAUUUGGUUGCACCUGUCCUAAGUCAGGAAAAUGAUGUUCAGUACUUGUCGUUUGUUGUUGUGGUUCAGAAAUGAUUCUCGUUUUUUAUAUAUAUUAGACGGUUGGUUUUUCCGUUUGAAUGGUUUGACAAAAGUCAUUUUUUGGGCCCUUUAUAGCUUGCUGUACGAUGUGAGCCAAUUGAAGGAUAUGUGUUAAAGACCAUACUUUGAUAAAUAAUGACUGAGACGGGGAGUUGUCUGAUUGGCGCUCAUGCCACGUCUUCUUACAUCUAAAGGAUAUUCAAAAUAAUAGUCCCCUAUUUCUUUUUUGAUUGGUGUGCCUAUUUUCUUUUUUUUAACGUUUGUGAAUGAAAUGUUCGAUAAAGGGAAAAUACAACGAAUUGGUUUCAAAUUUCUUUUUUUUUUAUUUUGUUUCUGUAAUAGUUACUUGAUUACUCAAUUUCAAGAAGACGUCCUCUGUUUAAUUCCGUGCUAUUUAAACACGGACACGCUCGCCUGCCUGGCAAAUGAGUAGGGACAAAAAGGGUCAAAAUCGGCCCACUUCAAAAGUAUAUGAUUUUGUUUUCAAAAUAUCUGACAGCUAGUUUAAAGCCACUAACAACUUAUAAAAUAAAUUCAUGCAUCUAAGACUAAAUUUUCUGUAAUAACCUGUAUGCAGAAUUUAAUUGAAAGAUGAAGUUUAUGUAUCAUGAAGUUCAUGUGUUUCCUCAAAUUGUAGUAAAUAAUUAUAACACAAUGAAAUGAAUAAUUGGUAUACCAAAGUAUUUAGUUCUUGCGUUGUAAAUUUAAUGUGAGUUUUAUCAGAAGAAAUGUAAUACAUACUGUCAUUAAACCACUAAUUUAACGUUAACUUUCUUUAUUUUUUUUACAUUUUGUUAAAUCUGCAUUUUAUUCAUCUGAAUGUGACGGCACUAUUAGCGUGAUUCAAAUUUUUCUUUUCAUGUGUCUCUGAUUGAGGCCGUUGAUCAUUGUGUUGAUGACAUGCAGUAUAAAUAAAUAACUUGAUGUUGAAUUAAUUAGUAUAUAGGAGAAACCCAUUGAAUAAAGUGUAGGUACUUUAAAAAUUGUACGUAAUUUUGUGUUGAACUUUUUAAACCUAAUUGACUAAAAAUCCUAAAAUAUAUAAAAAAAUCCAGUCAGUAGGAGGAAUUUAUCUUCUAUGUUUAACCCACAAUUGAAAUGACGUUUUAAGAUGUUUGAAAGUGAUGUAGAUAUUAUGUAGUGUUUACAAGGGGUCGUCUUGAUCGUGCAGGAAAUAUUUGCCACUGGACGUUAAGCAACAAUACAAUCAAUCUGUUUAACACAGGCAAAUACAAAACCAUAACUUUUUUAUUUUAGAUUAUUAAUCAUGCUUUACACUGGAAUCGCUAAAUAGUUUCUCCCUUACUUUAACUUUACUCCGUUGUCGUUACAAUUGUGGUAGAACGCCGCCAUGAUUAUAAUAAACACAAAGAUUUCACUAGAAAAGCUAAAUCCUUUCUUUCUUCCUUUACCUUCAUUCCAUUGCCGUACCAUUUGUGGUAGAAUUAACACCGCCAUGAUUGUAGUACAAGUAAAUCUCCGGUACACUCCGGGGAAUCUUUAGGCACGUUAAAAUGUAAUAAAAACAACUCAUUUAGUUCGUACAUUGGGUAAACCUAAAGGUUAUUUUGUAUUGUUCCGUGUUUUAUCGGAUUUUUGUUAUCCCUUAAUUUAUCAUUUGUUGGUUUGCUUUUCGUGCUAUUAAAGAGGGUAUGGUUAGGAGAUCUUUCGUGGUCCGAUGAUUGUUUACUCUAUUGUUUACUUUAAUACUUCUUUAUUCUCUAUUCUGUGUUUUGUUUGCCCUGAUUUUCUUUCUACUUUUUCAGGGAGAAAGGUGUUCUAUUCUGCUAGUUUUGUCCAUUAUUUUCUAUUCUAUAAGCCCCAUUUAGACCGAUUUGUUUGCUCUUCAAACUCACAGUCAUUAAAGAAAGUGCAAUAAAGAAUCAGAGUAAUGUGUUUUAGUUUCUUUGUAUCCCUAAAUUUUAGUAGUUAAAGUAUUUCGUUUAAUGACACUCAUGUUAUUAUCUGGUACAUAAUGAUAAAAUUGAAAACGAGGCUGUCAGUAUCCAAGUUUGUCAAACAAUGCGAAUGUUUCUUAAUGUUAUUGCCUCUGUACAUUUAUACUUUAGAUGAAAUUCUCUUGGGCACGUCUUACACGCAGACUGAAAAUGAAAGAUGAUGAUGAUGGAUUUAUUCAACGUCCAGUGACAAGUUAAAUGCGUACUAUUUUUUUAAAAUGAGAACAGGCUAUUGUAUUAGAAAUAAUUAUGAACCCGUAUUUGUAUGAGGCCAACGUAAUUUUGCACGUGCAACAGAUAGUUAUUUCACGCACGACGUCAUGUCAUCCUACACGGACACAUACAUUUGAUUCGUGGAAUUGCAUUUCCCCCUUAAAUGAAAGAAUUGUGAUCAAACUUCACGUUUACAUUGUAUAAUUUAUUUAAUUGAUAUCGAAUAUCUAUUAAAUAAAAAAUAGCGGAUCAAAUAACCGUAAUUAAAAAUUUAAAUUUUAAUCACAAAAUUGCAUAUUUCACUGAAAGGUGAAAAUGUUGAUUUUUCGAUAGAUAAAUCUGAUCGAAAUUUUAAAGCUAGUCCGUAUCAGUUAAAAGGAAAGCAUGAUUUAAACUAUUUUAGAUUUUUUUUUAAACGGGGAUGAAUAAAAAAAAUUAAGAAGACAUUUAAAAACGUUGAACAUAAUUGUUAAAGUGCAUUUUUCAGUAGUACACCACUAUGCAGUCACCAUCGUUUAGCAAGUUUAUUUCAAACAAUAAGUAAUAGUUAGAUAACACUAACUUGUUUUACACCAUUGAAAGCAUUUUUUUCCAAUUAAAUCAUUCAUUGAAGGCAUAUUUUGCAAAGUGGAGGGAAUUUCAUCGAAUUAGUCAUUUACCCCUCAAUUUGUAAAAUGUUCUGCUAUUCACAUGACGCUCGCAUGUCCUCACAAAUCUCUAUUUAUAUUGAUUUCCCCAUUGACAGCAUAUUGUUAAAAUUAACACGUUAUUUGAACAUGUUGAAUUAUAGGAAAAAAUAACACACAAUCUGUUUAUCUGUCUCGUUUAAUUUGUGUGAGAUGGCAGUUUAUAAACUUCCCUAUACCAAGUAUACGAACACUAACAUAUGCCUAUCGUUCUCAUUCAGGAGCACCACUUUUUGUGGGAUUCUCGUUGCUCCGUCUUUAGUUUGUUUAUAGGAUCUGUAUGGGGGUAUCUUGUUUUGUCUAUGCCCUCUCUGUGUUAUUUUGUUUCAUCUGUUUUAUAAUCAUUCUCCCCGUUAUUGUAUUAGAUAAAUUUUUUUAUUUUGUUCAGCAAUUUCAUAUUUUUUAAAUGUCAAUGUGAUCUAUUUCAUGUAACCUUUAGUUCAAGAUUUAUAUGACUUAUUAAUAUUUUUGUUUUUAUUUCUUAUCAAACACAUGUUUUUUAUGUAUUUUUUAUGUUUAUGUUUUAUUCUAUCUCUUUUUUUAUAUGAAUUAUGAAAAUAAAUUCGCUGAAUUUCUCUUACAGAUAUUUAUCAUUAUAGCCCCAUAUUCUAUAAUAAAGUGCUAAGAUAAGCAACUGAAAUAAAUAACAGAUCUAUAAUUUUGAUUUUAAUUAAACUUCUCGGACUAAGGUAAAUGUCAAACUUACAUCAGGGUAAGGAAAUAUAAAAACAGAGAAAGUAGCUUUAAUCGUGAAGAAAACACAGACGAAGACGCUCUGAAAUGCAUAUUUGUAAAUAAAAACUUACAACAAAUCUUUACUGUUUGAAAUGCAUGGUUAUAUUUAUAAUUUCAAUAUUUAAUAAGGGUCAACAGUUUUAUGAUUGCCAAUGGGUCAACUAUCAAACAGAAUCCGGAAGUUGUGGAUUCAACCAACUAUAGGAAUCCGUAUGACCUUAAGGUGUCGGACCACCAAUUAAAAAUCCCUCUCUGUUCAACCAAAUUUUGCAAUUUCACAGCUUUCUAAAUAUUUUACCUUAAGUUUAACUUCAAGGAAACCAGGUAUAUCCUGAAUUGUUCAUGUAUCAUCUUUCAACAUGCCAAUUUUCAACCAUUGUUUAAAGUCUUACAAGAAAUUUCUGAUCUUGAAAACACAGGUACUACCAAAAUAACUCUUAAAUCUUAAAUUAGUGUACUAUGUAGCCCAUUAAUUCUGAGUUUUUAAUGCAAACUCAUAGACAAGUGAAUUUUGGCUCAAAAUGGUCUAAAUAUAUCUCUCUUUCACCAAAAGCUUCAUUUCUGCAAAUUUGUUGGUUAGUUUUUAAAAGUAAACAAUGACAUCAAAUGCACUAUUUUUUGUACGAGUAGGCUUUCUGUCUAAAUUGACACCUUAAACCAAUAACAAAUAACCAAGCUAAACGUAAAAGCGACAUACAGUAACCAGCGACAAUCACUGAUUUACAGGAUACUGACUUCGGACAAGCACACAGAAUGUUGUGUACCUAAAUUCGUUUGUGAGCUCUCAAUAUUUAUAACCCUUAACACUGACCGUAGUGUAACAGUUCAAAGCAAGGAUAAGCUGUUUUAACCUGAUGGAGAGAAAAGGUUUUCUUAAAAUCAAAAGGACAAAAAACGAUAUUACUUACUUUCGAUACUGUUGCAAGAUUUAAAUUGAAAAAUGAGAUACACAAAACAUGUGAUAAUAUAUUAAAAACAAAAUCUGUAUAGCUACUCUUUAAAUAAUUGUUCAUUCUUUAAAUAGGACUCUAAAAAAUAAUUGUGAAAACGUAACUACAGAUAACUCAAAUCAUUAAAAAAGUCACUGUGUUUACCGUUAAAAAAAUAACGUCUUUAUUUCAAAUAAUUGUCAAUCACAUAUAUAUGUCCUGGUUAUUUAACCCUUAAGGAGGUAGACCUAGGUUAAGGGAAGUAACUCUUAAAAUCAUCAGUACGUUUGUGUCAACCAUUUUUAAGAAUAUAUUCUAAGCUUCUAGGUUACAUAGAUUAUUUUCAAUCUGUUUCAGGUAAAUGCUUAAAAUACAUUGAUGAACUUGACUUUUACAAACGCUUAACUGAUUUAAAGAGUUAUCUCCCUGAACCAAGGUCUACCCCCUUAACUUAAAAUUGAAAAUGUUAAAUAAUAUAGAAUAAACAACAUGAAAAAACUCUGCAGAAAUAUUUUUCUCCCAAGUAAGAAAAGUAACCACAAUCAAAAGUACAUGACACCCAAAUAAUUCAAUCAUUACAUUCAACUGCACUACGAUGACUACAUUAACAUUGCAAAAGGGAGAGUCAAUGACGGAGAGUGAUUGAAUUAUUCGGGUUAAAGUACAUGUAAUUAUGCCAUACUUUUGGCUAAUAGAGCACCUCUACUCUUAACACCUACAUUAGAGAAAACAAGUGUUUUUACACCCACACUUCACCUUGAAAGAUACGGUAUGAGAUAAUAAUAAUAUAAUUAUAGAUAAUAUGGAUAAUCGUUAUGUUUUCCCACCAAUUAAAAUUAAUGUUAAAUAACUUGGGAGUGAAAACUAUGACUGAGUCACACGGUGAGAAUUGUUUGCUUUUAAUUUGCAAAUUUUUUAUGGUUUUGUUCUGUACGACCAGUUAUAAUACUUAUUGACAUAAUGUAAUGAAAAAUUUGCCACAAUAUUAAUAAUUUACCCUGAUGGUAUAAAAGUAAAUGUUUGGUAAAUAUUCAGUUAUAAUUUAUGUGCAAUUGGCAAACAUCGGGCGAAUCCGCUGCCCCUGUCGUUGUUACGGAAUCUGCCGAUGUGAACUUAUGUGAUUUUCAACACUUCGUAUGUGAGGUCAUGGUUAUGACUUUUUGCGUUCAGGCCUGGUUUGUCACUGAGUCGGGUGUGUCUAUUUCUGUGUUGAUCUUCAAUGCAUUAUGUAUUAUGGUUUUGUUUUCUGUAAUUAGUUAACGUCAGUUUGAUCAUGUAAAUCUUUUAUAUUCAUUUGAUAAAAUUUACUGUUUGCAACAGCAUAAAUGUUCUAUAUAAUAAGGAUGUUCUUAUCACAAGCAAAAAACCCUAGCCGUAUUUGGCACAACCUUUUUCAACUUUUGAUCCUCAGAGCUGUACAACUUUGUCCCCCUUUUUUUUGACUUUCAAACUUUUAUACCUGGGCGUCACUGGUAAGUCUUGUUUGUAGAAGGCGCGUUUUUGACGUAAUGAAUUUUAACCUGAUGCCUUUUGUUAUCUAUUAUUCAUGUGUUUCUAUGCCUAAUACGUUCUGCUAUUCAUUUGUAUUGUAGUCCUGUAUUAUUAUGUUGCUUUAAAUGUUAUAUUUAACAAUGCCAUCAAAGUGCGAGGUUUGGCAUGCCACAAAACCAGUUCAACCACCAUUUUUUUCUUUAAAACUGUCCUGUACCAAGUCAGGAAAAUGGCCAUUGUUAUAUCAUAGUUUGUUUCUGUGUGUGUAACAUUUUUACGUUGUGUUUCCGUUGUGUCGUUUGUUUUCUCCUAUUUUUGAGUGUGCAUUCACAUUAAUACUAAGACGUGUCACGGUACUUUUCUAUCCCAAAUUCAUGUAUUUGGUUUUGAUGUUAUAUGGUUGUUCUCAUCGGAUGUUGUCUAAUGCUUAGUCCGUUGCUGUGUGUGUUACAUUUUAAUGUUGUGUCGUUGUUCUCCUCUAAUAUUUAAUGCGGUUCCCUCAGUUUAGUUUGUUACCCCGAUUUUGUUUUUUGUCCAUAGAUUUAUGAGUUUAAACAGCGGUAUACUACUGUUGCCUUUAUUUAAGCUUCGUAGACUUAAAUAUAUUUAAUUGUGAUUUUUCAAGCUUCAAGGUAUUUUUAAUAAUUUUAUUCUAUUCAGUUGCUGUUUCAAAGACCAAAAGACCAAUACCGGAAUUUUACAAAUUGAAUAUACACAGAACUUUCUGUAUCUAAGUGUCGUUAAAUAGCUUUCAAAGUAAAGGAAUAAAUAAAUGCGAAUUUUGAAAGUUAUGUACCACAAAAAUACUGACCAACGACAAAAUAAAACCCCCCCAAAAAAAUCAAUUUAAAACUGAAAACAAGUUCGUGACUAAAAAUCUUCACCGUACAUUUAUAAAAACAUAAUAGAAUAGUUUAUAGUUAACUUUAAAAAUAGAUAUGUAUUUAUGUAUAUCAAAUAUGUUAUGUAGCCAUAUAAAAAAGUUAAUAUUUUAUUUAAUCUUAUAUAUUGGCUUUGAUCUUCUGAUACGUACUGGCUUAGGGGGAAUUAAUAUCGUAUAUUUUCCAGAAUGAGUUGAAAUGUUAUAGUUGGGUAUGAUUAAUAUUGAGUUCAUUCAGAAACUUGUUUUCAUGACACUUAUGGAGAAAAAUACGGAUGUUUGUUUACUUUGAUAGGAUUAACUGAUGAUUGGCAAUUAGAUAUAUUCCAUGCAGAGUAAGGAGAAACAUUUGGUGUUGCUGUAUUCAUUUUUUUUUAUUUGCAGAUCAAAAUAAGUGUUUUAUUUAUUUAUUUUUGUUUGAAAAUGGAAGGGGGAAUGUCGUUGCUUUUAUUAUUUAACAUUAAAUUUCGAGUUUACCGCUUGUAUGUCGAGGUAUCAGACUAAAUUUACGAUUUUCAAUAAUGUAGAUGAUAAAACUGAGAAUAAACAUAGGGCAUGCGUCAAAUAGAUUACAACAUUACCAGAGAGCAGAAAACAACCGAAUGCCUGCCACACAAUGUGUCGUUAACACAGCGAGAAAAUCCCGCACCCGGAGUCGAAUAUUCAAAAUUUAACUUCCUUUUUUUUAUUUCAGAUAUACAUACAAAGAAAAUUCGACAUGAGAUUGUGUGGACUGCUUGCCUUAAUUAGUGUAUCUAUUGUGAUUGUUGACAGUUCGCCUGCACUUAGUCGGCAUAAACGAGGAUUUCUAGCCGGAGUACAUGAUCGAAUGGGACAUGGUUUUGGUAAACGAACAGACCCAAUACUUUCAAGCUAUGUAGAUGACGUUGAUAAAGAG